UACGUAGGUGGCAAGCGUUGUCCGGAUUUACUGGGCGUAAAGGAUGCGUAGGCGGACAUUUAAGUCAGAUGUGAAAUACCCGAGCUUAACUUGGGUGCUGCAUUUGAAACUGGGUGUCUAGAGUGCAGGAGAGGUAAGUGGAAUUCCUAGUGUAGCGGUGAAAAUGCGUAGAGAUUAGGAAGAACACCAGUGGGCGAAAGGCGACU
rnacentral:rRNA from 1 species